AUUGAACGCUGGCGGCAGGCCUAACACAUGCAAGUCGAGCGGAGCGGCGGACGGGUGAGUAAUGCCUAGGAAUCUGCCUGGUUGUGGGGGAUAACGUCCGGAAACGGGCGCUAAUAACGCCAGCUUUCAGUUGAGCCUAGGUCGGAUUAGCUAGUUGGUGGGGUAAAGGCCUACCAAGGCGACGAGCAGUAACUGGUCUGAGAGGAUGAUCAGUCACACUGGAACUGAGACACGGUCCAGACUCCUACGGGAGGCAGCAGUGAGGAAUAUUGGACAAUGGGCAGAAGCCUGAUCCAGCCAUGCCGCGUGUGUGAAGAAGGUCUUCGGAUUGUAAAGCACUUUAAGUUGGGAGGCGUUACCAACAGAAUAAGCACCGGCUAACUUCGUGCCAGCAGCCGCGGUAAUUC
rnacentral:rRNA from 1 species